AAGUGGUAGCAAUACCAUGAGUAAAGUGGCGCACGGGUGAGUAACACGUGACUAACCUACCCUGGAGUGGGGGAUAACUGAGGGAAACCUUAGCUAAUACCGCAUAAUACCCACGGGUCAAAGGAGCAAUUCGCUCUGGGAGGGGGUCGCGGCCGAUUAGUUAGUUGGCGGGGUAACGGCCCACCAAGACGAUGAUCGGUAUCCGGCCUGAGAGGGCGCACGGACACACUGGAACUGAAACACGGUCCAGACUCCUACGGGAGGCAGCAGUGGGGAAUCUUGCGCAAUGGACGAAAGUCUGACGCAGCAACGCCGCGUGAGGGACGAAGGCUUUCUGAG
rnacentral:rRNA from 1 species